rnacentral:lncRNA from 1 species
CAUCUAUCAUCUAUGUAUCUAUGUAUCUAUCUAUCUAUCAUCUAUCUAUCUAUCUAUCUAUCUAUCUAUCUAUCUAUCUAUCAUCUAUCUAUCCAUCUAUGUAUAUAGAGUUAUUAUGAGGAAUUGGCUCACAUCAUUAUGGAGGCUGAGAAAUCUCACGGUCUGCCAUCUGCAAGCAGGAGAUCCACGCAAGCUGGUGGUGUAAUUCAGUCUGAGUUCCAAGUCCUGAGAAUCUGGGAAACUAACCAUGGGAAAUCACAGUUGAAAGGCAGGAGAAGAAGAGAUGUUCCAGCUCAAGCAGACAGGGGAUAAUUCCUCCUGAAAUCCAAACACUGUCCAUACUCUUCUGGUGCACCCGUUUUUACGUUGGAUUUUGCAGACCAAAGAAACUUUACUUGCAGACCAAUAUUUAGGAGGUUGGGAGAAAAUGGGCUUCCAGUUGUGCAUUUGGGUUAGAAUCUACAGACAUCUUUUACUUCAUGCAUCUUCAAGGAAAAAAACUGGACAGAAAGGUAACCCAGUUAUAACAGAUUUAUGUCAGCAGGAUGCUUCCUUUCAAGGCUUAUUAGAUACUACCGGAUGCUACAUUUUUUCUCAACUUUAACCAAGGCUGAAUAAUUUUUUUCUAAAUCAUUUGAUUUCCACUGGAACCACUGACCAGAAAAUGGUUGUAAUCCAACUGAUUUCUUAAGGUUGAAAGUAACGACAUUUCUUUACAUAUGUUUAUGUAAACUGAGGGUGACUGUUUGCUUUUGAAAAGUACCAAAAUUUGAAGAACAGCAAAUUAGUGUGGGAUCAGCAAAGGAAAAGGGUGUACCUCUCUACCUAUGACUGUCCUUAUAAACUUGGACUUUCUGGGGCUAGGAGAAGCUGACUUAUGAAUAGCAUAGAAUCUGUGAGGAAGAGGUCAAGUUGCAGACUGCAGGAAUAGGGAGUCGGAUUUCCUGUGAGUAAGAGAGUUCCUUCUUAAAGUCUGUCUUAAGUGAGCAGUGACCGAUCCAGAUGACCAUACUACCGAAGUCCACCAGUUUGACAACCUCAGCUUCUUUGAGACACAGAAAUCAAAUUGUCUUCAAUCAAAUGGCAUUACAAUUAUUUAAACUUUCUACUUUUUUUCCAACUCUCCUAUUAUGAAAAUAUUUUUAUAAUUUCUGGAACAUCCCUAACACAAAGAAAUAGUAAAUGCUUGAGGUUAUGAAUAGCCCAAUUACCCUGUUUGAUCAUUAUGCAUUGAGUUCUUGAAUCAAACUAUCACAUGUACUUCAUGAAAAUGUACAACUAUUAUGUAUCCAUGAUAAUUAAAAAUUUUUAAAAAUGGAAGAAAAAAUUGUAUCCUUUUUAUAAUUAAAAGGUCAAGAUCAGGAAUAUAUGUCAAAGACCUAGUUCAGCUGGGGAUGGUGGCUCAUGCCUGUAAUCCUAAUCCCAGCACUUUGGGAGAACAACGAGGGUGGAUCACUUGAGGUCAGGAGUUUGAGACCAGCCUGACCAACAUGGUGAAACCCUGUCUCUACUAAAAAAAUAAAAAGAAAAAGAAAAUACAAAAUUCACUGGGUGUGGUGGUGCAUGCCUGUAAUCCCAACUACUUGGGAGGCUGAGGCAGGAGAAUCGCUUGAACCCGGAGGCAGAGGUUGCAGUGAGCCGAGAUCACACUGUUGCACUUCGCUCCUGCCUGGGCAACAAGAGGGAAACUCCAUCUCAGGGAAAACAACAACAACAACAACAACAACAACAAAAACCUAGUUCUUAAAGAGCAAUACAUAUUUUCACUCAAAAUCUACUUACCUUUACUCUAGACACCAUUUUAGUGCAUUGAAUUAUUUGUUUUGUCAGCCCAUUUCACUAGAAAAGGAGUAGGCAGAGAGGGUAAAGAACGUGCAGUUGUAAAAGCAAAGGCUCCAAUUAUAACUUAAGAAAAAAUGGAGACUGAUGCAAGAAAAGUGGCAAAAUAUUCUAAAUUGCAAACAUUAAAAAAAUAAUCUCAUUCAUUCUACUAAGUGUAGAGGCAUAAACCUUACUGUUGUUUGAUUCUCUUCUCCAUAAAUGUAACAUUAUAUCUAGCACCUUUUUAUUAAGAAGACAAGAUGUGUGUAACGUGUCAAUUUUUUUUUCUUUUAAACAUGUUUAAAACGAAAUUUAAGAAGAAACUGUCAUUAUAUGGGUAGUUCUUUGCUUCUGCUGGGGAGUUCUGUUAAGUGAAAUAUGUUUGUAAGAGACAUAGGAUUAUAGAUAAAUUUAUCACAGCUCUCUCCCCAAAAUCUUCUCCUUUUCUCUUCUAUAAUCACGCCUCUACUUAGGAGUCAAGGAGAAGCAGCCAAAGAAAAAGUUACCAGACUAAAGCUGCAGGCCUGUUUCAUAUUUUCCAAGGAAGAAAGUGUAGAAUAUUCAUUCUUCUUUCCAUGGUGACAUCCUUUAGAAUCUAAAAGAAAGGCAGGAUUUAUGUGCUAUGGGUACUGAUCAAAGCAGACACUACCGUUUAUUUCCUAAAUUGCACUAUGCAUGAGCUACCCCAAUAUGUUUUCUCAGGCAUUUUCCUGGUUUGUAGUAUUUCUACAUCUCGAUGGCUUUGUGCUACUUUUUUACUGUUUCUCAAAUCAGGUCAUCUUAGCUACAGCAUAAGGAGGCUUGGGUGUCAGGGACCAACUCAAAGCCUCUUUUUCCAUGACUUGGUUAUUUCACUCAUAAUGACAUAUGCAUUUUUUAUCUUCUGGAAUAUUUGUAAUUUAUGCUACAGAACUUAAUUCAUUGUUAGCCACUGGAUUCCACUGUAGCUUUUCCAUUCUCCUAUUCAUAGCACUGAGAUUGGCUCAUUUUAACCAACACAAGGGUAACUCACAAUACUUCUGAAUCACCCACAAAGACUAGCUCAGAUCUGUGCACACAGUUACUAAUCAGUAAAUGUAUGAUCACCAGUUAAUGUAUUACAAUGUAAGUUUAAGAGGGAACCAAAUAAGGAAAUGUAUGGAGAACUAAAGACAUAUAUGAUAUUCACAUUAUCAUAUUUGAAUAAAUUUACAUAUUAUACCAUACCUUGAAUAAAAAAUAACUUAAUAUGGUUAAAUAUAUCAAUUUACUUUUUAUCUAGACUGCUUACUUGAAAUUUCCCUAACUGAUUAUUAACAGAGAUGUCAAGAACUACAUUGGUGCUCACACUAACAUGGGUAAAACAUUGUGAAGUUUAAAAAGGGUUCUAUAAAGUCUCUAUAGAUCUGUAUACUUUCAACACCAGGGAAAGAUGAUUAAUUUUAUACGUUCUUUACAGUACAUCUAUGUCCUGUGAUAAUUAUACUACUUAUAAUCUCUUCUCAUCUCCACCCUGAUAAUAGGUUUUCCUUUUUUUGAGACAAAGUUUCACUCUUGUUGCCCAGACUGGAGUGCAAUGGCACAAUCUUGGCUCACUGCAACCUCCACCUCCCAGACUCAAGUGAUUCUCCACUUAUAAUUCAAAAAGCAGCAACAACUGCAGAGCCCCCACUUGGCCUCUCUUACUUAUCAUUUUUUUUGUGAUGAGAGCAUAUGAAAUGUACUCUUAGCAGUUUUGAAAUGUAUAAUACACUAUUAUUGUAUAAAUCACCAUGCUGUGCAAUAAACAUUCAAUAAAAAAGUUUUUUCCUUCCAAUU